rnacentral:rRNA from 1 species
AACGAACGCUGGCGGCAUGCCUAACACAUGCAAGUCGAACGAGACCUUCGGGUCUAGUGGCGCACGGGUGCGUAACGCGUGGGAACCUGCCCUUAGGUUCGGAAUAACUCCCCGAAAGGGGUGCUAAUACCGGAUAAUGUCUUCGGACCAAAGAUUUAUCGCCUUUGGAUGGGCCCGCGUUGGAUUAGCUAGUUGGUAGGGUAAAAGCCUACCAAGGCGACGAUCCAUAGCUGGUCUGAGAGGAUGAUCAGCCACACUGGGACUGAGACACGGCCCAGACUCCUACGGGAAGCAGCAGUGGGGAAUAUUGGACAAUGGGCGAAAGCCUGAUCCAGCAAUGCCGCGUGAGUGAUGAAGGCCUUAGGGUUGUAAAGCUCUUUUACCCGGGAUGAUAACGACAGUACCGGGAGAAUAAGCUCCGGCUAACUCCGUG